rnacentral:rRNA from 1 species
CACGUAGGGGGCAAGCGUUGUCCGGAUUUAUUGGGCGUAAAGAGCUCGUAGGCGGCUCGGUAAGUCGGGUGUGAAAUUUCGAGGCUCAACCUCGAAACGCCACCCGAUACUGCUGUGGCUAGAGUCCGGUAGGGGAGCGUGGAAUUCCUGGUGUAGCGGUGAAAUGCGCAGAUAUCGGGAAGAACACCGAUGGCGAAAGCACUCUGCUGGGCCGAAACUGACACUGAGAGACGAAAGCUAGGGGAGCGAAUGGG